rnacentral:rRNA from 1 species
CCUGAAAUUCAUGGUGAUGCUAUAAGUUCCAAAAUACACCUGGACUUGGAAGCUAAGCAGGGUCAGCCUUGGUUGGUACUUGGAUGGGAGACCGCCAAGGAACACCAGGUGCAUUUAGGC